UACAGAGGUCUCGAGCGUUGUUCGGAUUCAUUGGGCGUAAAGGGUGCGUAGGUGGCUUGGUAAGUCGGAUGUGAAAUCCCGGGGCUCAACCCCGGAACUGCAUUCGAUACUGCUUUAGCUUGAGUCCUGGAGAGGAGAUCGGAAUUUACGGUGUAGCAGUGAAAUGCGUAGAUAUCGUAAGGAAGACCGGUGGCGAAGGGCGGAUCUCUGGACAGGAACUGACACUGAGGCACGAAGGCCAGGGGAGCAAACGGG
rnacentral:rRNA from 1 species